UAGUGGCGAACGGGUGAGUAACACGUGGGCAAUCUGCCCUUCACUCUGGGACAAGCCCUGGAAACGGGGUCUAAUACCGGAUAAUACCUGCCUGGGCAUCUGGGNGGGUUGAAAGCUCCGGCGGUGAAGGAUGAGCCCGCGGCCUAUCAGCUUGUUGGUGAGGUAGUGGCUCACCAAGGCGACGACGGGUAGCCGGCCUGAGAGGGCGACCGGCCACACUGGGACUGAGACACGGCCCAGACUCCUACGGGAGGCAGCAGUGGGGAAUAUUGCACAAUGGGCGAAAGCCUGAUGCAGCGACGCCGCGUGAGGGAUGACGGCCUUCGGGUUGUAAACCUCUUUCAGCAGGGAAGAAGCGAAAGUGACGGUACCUGCAGAAGAAGCGCCGGCUAACUACGUGCCAGCAGCCGCGGUAAUACGUAGGGCGCAAGCGUUGUCCGGAAUUAUUGGGCGUAAAGAGCUCGUAGGCGGCUUGUCACGUCGGUUGUGAAAGCCCGGGGCUUAACCCCGGGUCUGCAGUCGAUACGGGCAGGCUAGAGUGUGGUAGGGGAGAUCGGAAUUCCU
rnacentral:rRNA from 1 species